GUCGAGCGGUAAGGCCCAUUCGGGGUACACGAGCGGCGAACGGGUGAGUAACACGUGGGUGAUCUACCUUGCACUUCGGGAUAAGCCUGGGAAACUGGGUCUAAUACCGGAUAUGACCCGUGGUUGCAUGACUUCUGGUGGAAAGAUUUAUCGGUGCGAGAUGGGCCCGCGGCCUAUCAGCUUGUUGGUGAGGUAACGGCUCACCAAGGCGACGACGGGUAGCCGACCUGAGAGGGUGACCGGCCACACUGGGACUGAGACACGGCCCAGACUCCUACGGGAGGCAGCAGUGGGGAAUAUUGCACAAUGGGCGCAAGCCUGAUGCAGCGACGCCGCGUGCGGGAUGACGGCCUUCGGGUUGUAAACCGCUUUUGACAGGGACGAAGCGCAAGUGACUGUACCUGUAGAAUAAGGACCGGCCAACUACGUGCCAGCAGCCGCGGUAAUACGUAGGGUCCGAGCGUUGUCCGGAAUUACUGGGCGUAAAGAGCUUGUAGGCGGUUCGUCGCGUCGUUUGUGAAAACUUGGGGCUCAACCUUAAGCUUGCAGGCGAUACGGGCGGACUAGAGUACUUCAGGGGAGACUGGAAUUCCUGGUGUAGCGGUGAAAUGCGCAGAUAUCAGGAGGAACACCGGUGGCGAAGGCGGGUCUCUGGGAAGUAACUGACGCUGAGAAGCGAAAGCAUGGGUAGCAAACAGGAUUAGAUACCCUGGUAGUCCAUGCCGUAAACGGUGGGUACUAGGUGUGGGGCUCCUUCCACGGACUCCGUGCCGUAGCUA
rnacentral:rRNA from 1 species